rnacentral:rRNA from 1 species
UACGUAGGGUGCGAGCGUUGUCCGGAAUUAUUGGGCGUAAAGAGCUCGUAGGCGGUCUGUCGCGUCGGUCGUGAAAACUUGGGGCUUAACCCUGAGCUUGCGGUCGAUACGGGCAUGACUGGAGUUCGGCAGGGGAGACUGGAAUUCCUGGUGUAGCGGUGAAAUGCGCAGGUAUCAGGAGGAACACCGGUGGCGAAGGCGGGUCUCUGGGCCGAUACUGACGCUGAGGAGCGAAAGCGUGGGGAGCGAACAGG